rnacentral:rRNA from 1 species
CCCUUAGAUGUUCUGGGCCGCACGCGUGCUACACUGAGUGGAUCAGCGGGUCAGGUUGCGCGAAAGUGUUUCCUAAUCUUGAAAUCCGCUCGUGAUGGGGAUUGACGGUUGCAAUUUUCCGUCAUGAACGAGGAAUACCUUGUAAGCGCGGGUCAUCAUCCCGCGCUGAAUACGUCCCUGCCCUUUGUACACACCGCCCGUCGCUCCUACCGAUUGAGUGGUCCGGUGGGGCUUUGGGAUCUGAGCGGAAAGAGCGUUUCGCUGUUUCUGCUCGGAAAACUCAGUCGAACCUUAUCAUUUAGAGGAAGGAGAAGUCGUAACA